rnacentral:rRNA from 1 species
CCCAGUAAACGGCGGCCGUAACUAUAACGGUCCUAAGGUAGCGAAAUUCCUUGUCAGGUAAGUUCUGACCCGCACGAAAGGCGUAACGAUUUGGGCGCUGUCUCAGCUGUAGACUCGGUGAAGUCUUAGUACCUGUGAAGAUGCAGGUUACCCGCGACUAGACGGAAAGACCCCAUGGAGCUUUACUGUAGCUUGAUAUUGGACUUUGAUGCAAGAUGUACAGGAUAGGUAGGAGACUGAGAGACAUGCACGCCAGUGUGUGAGGAGUCAAUGUUGGGAUACUACUCUUCUUGUAUUGGAGUUCUAACCGGAUGCCAUGGAACUGGCAACGGGACAGUGUCAGGUGGGCAGUUUGACUGGGGCGGUCGCCUCCCAAAGAGUAACGGAGGCGCCCAAAGAUACCCUCAGCUUGGAUGGAAAUCAAGCGCAGAGUGCAAAGGCAUAAGGGUGUUUGACUGCGAGACCUACAAGUCGAGCAGGGACGAAAGUCGGGCUUAGUGAUCCGGCGGUGCUGAAUGGAAAGGCCGUCGCUCAACGGAUAAAAGCUACCCUGGGGAUAACAGGCUGAUCUCCCCCAAGAGUUCACAUCGACGGGGAGGUUUGGCACCUCGAUGUCGGCUCAUCGCAUCCUGGGGCUGUAGUCGGUCCCAAGGGUUGGGCUGUUCGCCCAUUAAAGCGGUACGCGAGCUGGGUUCAGAACGUCGUGAGACAGUUCGGUCCCUAUCUGUCGUGGGCGUAGGAAGUUUGAGAAGAUCUGUCCUCAGUACGAGAGGACCGGGAUGGACAUAUCAAUGGUGCACCAGUUGUCACGCCAGUGGCACAGCUGGGUAGCUAAAUAUGGAAGGGAUAAACGCUGAAGGCAUCUAAGUGUGAAACCCACUUCAAGAUGAGACUUCCCAUUACGCAAGUAAGUAAGACCCCUUAAAGACGAUAAGGUUGAUAGGUCAGGAGUGUAAGCAUGGCGACAUGUUCAGCGGACUGAUACUAAUAGGUCGAGGACUUAACCU